ensembl:lncRNA
AUUGUUGUAGUAAACACCAAAGUUCCCGGUUCUGGUGCUGAAUUAGUCCCUUAGCAAUAAUCUGCUAGGUGUUCUAGUCACUGACCUGCAUUCGUCCUCUAGUCCUAUUCUGGGGCCCUUAGUCUCUGUUAGGACUCAGUUGAAUCCUUCCCUCAUACCCAACAAAUUUGUAUGUUGGAGUCCUAACCCCCAGGACCUCAGAAUAUGGCUAUAUUUGGACACAGACCUUUAAUGAGAUAAUUGACUUACAUGAGGCCAUUAGAAUGGGCCUUAAUCCAGUAUGAACAGAGUCCUUAAGAGGAGAUUCGGACACAGAUGUGCACCAAGGGAAGACCCUGUGAAGAUACAGGGAGAAGACGGCGUCUGCAAGCCAAUGAGAGAGGCCUCAAAAGAAAUCAACCCCGCCAACAUCCUGAUCUCAGACCUCCAGCCUCCAAAACUUUCUGGAGUCUGGAAGUCCAAGAUGAAGGUGCCUGCAGAUUCGGUGUCUGUUGAGAACUUUCUUCCUGGUUUGUGGACGGCAGUCUUCUUGCUGCAUCCUCACAUGAUGGAGAGAGAGAGAGGGCUAUGACAGAAGAGAUGGAAGCAGAGGGAACACCCACAGCACAGGAUCAGUCAUCAGCAGUGCUCAGAACAAGGCCUCGGACUCUUCUCUCAAUUCAACUCUUCCAGCAACUCUCCUGUUUUCCCAUCUUGCUUGGAAGAGCGCAGACCAACGGGUAACACAGAUGAAAGCAAUGUUACCAUAAUACUCAGUAUUUAGAAUAAUACCUUUAUUCCAGGGUGCUCUGCAGACAUUACCUCAUUAAUCUUCAUAACAUCUUUAAGAAAGGAGGAGGGAAUAGUUUCUGCCCUCAUUUAAUGGAUGGCAUAGCAAUGGCUUAAGGCCAGGACAUGAUUCAGUGUCAUGGCUGAAACAAAGCCACAUUCCCCAAACCCUCAGGUCGGGGCACCAUCAGCCGCUUCAGGAGUAAGCGUAGCUCUUUGGGGUAGCCAACAGGGAAGGGAUACGACUCCAACACUGGCAGAUGUGGAAGGAGACCAGAUGAAUAAGAUGCUACUCACUGUUACCAAAAGCAUCAAAAGACACUACUCAUUUGUUAUUAUAACAAAUAUUUGUUGAGGACCUGCUAGGAGCACUUUGCUGUUGGAAGGAGCAAGAAAAGGAAAAUGGGGGAAAGCAUGGAAGAAUGACCCAUAAGUCAGACAGGAACACUCCACUCAGAAAGUUUACAUUCGUUCAUUCAUCAGUCAUUCAACAAGCGGAAGCCUCUCAGAUGCCAUUCAAGGUGUGGGGGAUACAAAUAGAUACCAGACCUUGCCUUCAAGAGGAUUAGUCUAUUAGGCUAACCAAAUUUUUAAAACUUGGAGCAUAGAGCAAUACAUGUUGAAGAAAAUUUAUGCUCAUAUUGUUACGGAAGUGCAAAAGAAGAACGUUCAAGUCAGCUUAAGUGAAUCAGGGAAGGUUUCUCAAGGUAUUCGUGGCCUGUGCUAAGACUUGCAAGAUGAGUGAAGUUUAAUUAGGGGAAGGGUAUGCUAAGUAGAGGGAUGAGCUCCCAAGGAAUUGCUGUGUGAAACUCCGAAGUCAUUUGUCUUAACUUGGGGAGGAGUCUCUGCUGGUGGAGGCCCGGGUUGCAGAUGGGAGGACGAGCCCCUAAGAAAAAGAAAACGGCAACGUCAGAGCACGAGGAGCUCAUGCAGCAAGUUCAGGAGUUUAGACUUUACCACAACGGCUUGGGGGACCUACAAGGAUUAUGAGGCCAUUUAGUAGGAUU